rnacentral:rRNA from 1 species
UGGGGAAUAUUGCACAAUGGAGGGAACUCUGAUGCAGCGACGCCGCGUGAGUGAUGAAGGACUUCGUUUCGUAAAACUCUGUUCUAUGGGAAGAAAAGGACUGUACCAUAGGAGAAAGCUCCGGCUAAAUACGUGCCAGCAGCCGCGGUAAUACGUAUGGAGCGAGCGUUGUCCGGAAUUAUUGGGCGUAAAGGGUGCGCAGGCGGCUUUACAAGUUGGAUGUGAAAUAUUGUGGCUCAACCACAAACGUGCAUCCAAAACUGCAAAGCUUGAGUUAAGGAGAGGUAAGUGGAAUUCCUGGUGGAGCGGUGGAAUGCGUAGAUAUCAGGAGGAAUACCGGUGGCGAAGGCGACUUACUGGACUUAAACUGACGCUCAGGCACGAAAGCGUGGGGAGCAAACAGG